rnacentral:rRNA from 1 species
UACAGAGGGGGCAAGCGUUGUUCGGAAUUACUGGGCGUAAAGGGCGCGUAGGCGGCCUCCUAAGUCGAACGUGAAAUCCCUGGGCUCAACCCAGGAACUGCGUCCGAUACUGGUUGGCUUGAAUCCGGGAGAGGGACGUGGAAUUCCAGGUGUAGCGGUGAAAUGCGCAGAUAUCAGGAGGAACACCGGUGGCGAAGGCGGGUCUCUGGGCCGAAACUGACGCUGAGGAGCGAAAGCGUGGGGAGCGAACAGG